rnacentral:rRNA from 1 species
AACGUAGGACGCAAGCGUUAUCCGGAGUUACUGGGCGUAAAGGGCGCGUAGGCGGGCCUCCCAGUCCGGGGUGAAAGCUUUCGGCUUAACCGGAAAAGUGCCUUGGAUACUGGAGGCCUGGAGGGGGGUAGGGGCAGCCGGAACUUCCGGUGGAGCGGUGAAAUGCGUUGAUAUCGGAAGGAACGCCGGUGGCGAAAGCGGGCUGCUGGACCUCUACUGACGCUGAGGCGCGAAAGCCAGGGGAGCGAACGGG